rnacentral:rRNA from 1 species
GAUGAACGCUGGCGGCGUGCUUAACACAUGCAAGUCGAACGGAAAGGCCCUGCUUUUGUGGGGUGCUCGAGUGGCGAACGGGUGAGUAACACGUGAGUAACCUGCCCUUGACUUUGGGAUAACUUCAGGAAACUGGGGCUAAUACCGGAUAGGAGCUCCUGCUGCAUGGUGGGGGUAGGAAAGUUUCGGCGGUUGGGGAUGGACUCGCGGCUUAUCAGCUUGUUGGUGGGGUAGUGGCUUACAAAGGCUUUGACGGGUAGCCGGCCUGAGAGGGUGACCGGCCACAUUGGGACUGAGAUACGGCCCAGACUCCUACGGGAGGCAGCAGUGGGGAAUAUUGCACAAUGGGCGGAAGCCUGAGGCAGCAACGCCGCGUGCGGGAUGACGGCCUUCGGGGUGUAAACCGCUUUCGCCUGUGACGAAGCGUGAGUGACGGUAAUGGGUAAAGAAGCACCGGCUAACUACGUG